rnacentral:tRNA from 1 species
AAAGCUUUAAGUUAAUUAAAACUAUUAACCUUCAAAGUUAAAUAUAAGCAUGCUUAAGCUUUA